GAUUAAUGCAGUCAAAGCUCUUAGAGCUUCAGGUGGAUAAUUUUUGUCUUAAAAUGUUGCACCGGAAAAUGAACAAGUAAACUGUUUGAAUUUGGUGCUUAGAUGUAUAUGAGGCACAAUUCUUUCUAUGGUGUCUACUCCAAAUUUUUGUGGCAGCUGGGAAUUUUUACAAUCUGGGACCUUUCAGUUGAAAAAAAAAAAAGAAAAAAAAAUCUCAUUUGGG
rnacentral:misc_RNA from 1 species